UUCUGUUCUGCUGAUUGGGUUUAGCGAAGAGCUUGGUGUGCCAGUUACAGUUCAUCAGACGAUUUUGCCUCUAAUGCUCUCUUUUGGAAAAGGAAUAUGCAAUGACGGAAUUGAUGUGUUGAUUAGAAUUGGUGGACUUAUUGGGGAAAAGUUCGUUGUGAAACAAAUUCUGCCAUUGUUAAAUACUGUCGUCAAUUCGUGUAUCUGCACUUUGAGUGUU